CGAGAAUAGAGCAGCAGGGUGGUGGUUCCUGCGCUCACCUUCGGGUGAGUUCUACGAGCCCACG
rnacentral:ncRNA from 1 species